AUUACCUGCCGCACUCCAGGACCAGGGUUGCCUCCCCUAAAGGCCCCUGCAUGCUGUGACAUGGGCCUGGAUGGUGACACAUCUUCAAGCUGCCUGACUGAAUACUGUAGCCUUCAGUGGUAAUGGAAGCAAGGGCCUUACCUGGGAGUACAGCAAAACAGUCUCUCUCUCUCAGCCAUUCUGUCAACAUGUUCAUUCAUACAAACUGCUACGGACGCAGUCACUGACUUAUAUUCACUUUGGGACAAGUAGACAUUUUUCAAUCUUGUAUGGGAUAUACAUUUAUUAUUUUAGUUGACACCUGUGUGUUUGAUAUACAUGAAUAAAAACGUAUUUUCACCCUG